rnacentral:snRNA from 1 species
GAUAUUCAGAUUCAAGGAAUAUAU